rnacentral:rRNA from 1 species
CCUACGGGGGGCAGCAGUGGGGAAUUUUGCGCAAUGGGCGAAAGCCUGACGCAGCAACGCCGCGUGGGUGAUGAAGGUCUUCGGAUCGUAAAACCCUGUCGUCGAGGACGAAGGUCGUUUGGUUAAUAGCCUUAUGGCUUGACGGUACUCGGAGAGGAAGCCCCGGCUAACUCUGUGCCAGCAGCCGCGGUAAUACAGAGGGGGCUAGCGUUGCUCGGAGUUAUUGGGCGUAGAUUGUGAAGUCAGGGGUGUAAGCCCCGAGCUCAACUUGGGAACUGCAUCUGAGACUGGCAGGCUAGAGUACUGGAGAGGGUGGUAGAAUUCCACGUGUAGCGGUGAAAUGCGUAGAGAUGUGGAGGAAUACCAGUGGCGAAGGCGGCCACCUGGACAGUAACUGACGCUGAGGCGCGAAAGUGUGGGUAGCAAACAGGAUUAGAUACCCCUGUAGUC